CUCAGAGAUGUGAGAUGCUUAACGCUGAGAGCAAUCAAUCUUCACAACUACUGUCUGGCUGCCAAGAUUCACUGUUAUGCGGCGGGGCGUUGGGCGGGCAGCCUCCUGCAGCCAACCUGGCCGCCUGCCUCCUCAGCUCGGCCAGCUGCGCCUGGCAGCUCCGGCACCAGCCACCGGCCGCCGCCCGCUCCAGCGGCCGCGCUUCGCUCCCGACGGCGGCGGACCCCGCUCCUUCGGGCGGCGGGCGGCGGGCGCAGCGCUCCUCCUCGGGGGCGGCGGAGGAGGCGGCGGACGGGGGUUUUUUCCGAGGGGAGAGCUCCCGCCCCGCGCUCCCCUCCGCCACCUUGGCUUUGCGCCUCAGGAGGUGGCUGGUGAAGCCGAAGAUGAUGUCCGAGUCCAAACACAGAGCGCCGAUCUCCAGCAGCCCGG
rnacentral:lncRNA from 1 species